GACGAACGCUGGCGGCGUGCUUAACACAUGCAAGUCGAACGGAAAGGCCCUGCUUUUGUGGGGUGCUCGAGUGGCGAACGGGCGAGUAACACGUGAGUAACCUGCCCUUGACUUUGGGAUAACUUCAGGAAACUGGGGCUAAUACCGGAUAGGAGCUCCUGCUGCAUGGUGGGGGUUGGAAAGCUUCGGCGGUUGGGGAUGGACUCGCGGCUUAUCAGCUUGUUGGUGGGGUAGUGGCUUACCAAGGCUUUGACGGGUAGCCGGCCUGAGAGGGUGACCGGCCACAUUGGGACUGAGAUACGACCCAGACUCCUACGGGAGGCAGCAGUGGGGAAUAUUGCACAAUGGGCGGAAGCCUGAUGCAGCAACGCCGCGUGCGGGAUGACGGCCUUCGGGUUGUAAACCGCUUUCGCCUGUGACGAAGCGUGAGUGACGGUAAUGGGUAAAGAAGCACCGGCUAACUACGUG
rnacentral:rRNA from 1 species